CUUAUGGCAACCAUUCACUUCAGGAUCUAAUGGGCUGAUUUGGGAAGACUUCCAGAGCAUGUUGGGUGCAAUGCAAAGUGCCAGUCUCCGUUCCAUGAGCUCUGCAGGGUCCUCCCAAGACCACGGGGCCCCACGCAAUUGCGUGGUUUGCGUGGUGCCUAAACAAACAACUGCUUCCACAGACACAAAUGCAUGUCA